rnacentral:rRNA from 1 species
CAGUCGCCACGGGAAUACGGAGGGUGCAAGCGUUAAUCGGAAUUACUGGGCGUAAAGCGUGCGUAGGCGGUUCGUUAAGUCUGUUGUGAAAGCCCCGGGCUCAACCUGGGAAUGGCAAUGGAUACUGGCGAGCUAGAGUGUGUCAGAGGAUGGUGGAAUUCCCGGUGUAGCGGUGAAAUGCGUAGAGAUCGGGAGGAACAUCAGUGGCGAAAGCGGCUCACUGGACCAUUUCUGACGCUGAUGCACGAAAGCUAGGGGAGCAAACAGGAUUAGAUACCCGCGUAGUCCCUGUCUCUUAUAA